AUAUGCAGCUAGAGACACCAGUAGAU
rnacentral:misc_RNA from 1 species